rnacentral:lncRNA from 1 species
AUUCAAACCUUUAAAAGACUAAUAAAACUCAACCCUAAAGCCAAGCCAUGUAGUCCAAAAUUAAACCCACAAAAGAGGGUCUACAAAAAUGCAUAUUAUUCUACGUAGAUAGCACAUAAAUAUUCUUCACAAUUAAAGAAAGCACAUCUAAGUAAAUAGUGUAUAUAUAUUUAUUAAAUUUUAUAUUUCCAACCACUUGGGGUCCCCGGUUACAAUAAUACACCGUAGUUAAUUUUGGAU